CAAUAGCGUAUAUUAAAGUUGUUGCGGUAAAAAGCUCGUAGUUGGAUUUCUGUUGAGGACGACCGGUCCGUACCAUGUACGCGCAUCUGGUUCGGCCUCGGCAUCCUCUCGAUAGACGUUUCUGCGCUUGAUUGCGUGGAGCGGAUUUCGGGACUUUUACUUUGAGGAAAUUAGAGUGUUCACGGCAGGCAAUCGCCAGAAUACAUUAGCAUGGAAUAAUACUAUAGGAUCUCGGUUCUAUUUUGUUGGUUUCUAGACCCGGGGUAAUGAUUAAUAGGGAUAGUUGGGGGCAUUAGUACUUAACUGUCAGAGGUGGAAUUCUCAGAUUUGUUAAAGACUGACUUAUGCGAAAGCAUUUGCCAAGGAUGUUUUCAUUAAUCAAGAACGAAAGUUAGGGGAUCAAAGAUGAUCAGAUACCAU
rnacentral:rRNA from 1 species